rnacentral:lncRNA from 1 species
UCCGGAUGGAGUGAUUUUAUAUCGGUGUGGAGAUACUCCAUGUCGAGGACAUCAGUGUGAAGGAGCAGUAUGCAGGUAAUCAUCAGAGUAUACUUUGUUUUAAAUACCAAAUUAAAAGAGGACUUGCGGGUGCGGAAAAUUCUCGCUGCAUUAAAGACCUGUUGGAGAACUUCUGCUGUUGUCUGUUAUAUGGUCGGUUUGUUGUCUUUAUGACACAUUCCCCAUUUCCUUUCUAAAUUUCAUUGAUUCUACAGAAAGUAAUUUGAGGUGCUAUGGCACAUAUUACGAAAUGUAUUGUAUGCAUUUUAUGCAGUUUUACCCUAACCAUUAUAUAUGUAUAUAUAAACAACAAUUAUAAGUUUAUAUUCUGGUGUCUGUUAAGGACAAUUACAAUCACCAUAAAACGUAAUCAAUUAUGAUUAUAUAAUAAUGCAUGACCAUUUAAGGUUAUUUGACUCAUAUUAACCGUUCCUUUGUUGAAAGGAUUUAAUUAUUUACAUGGUAUCUUUUCUUUUCCAAAGAAACAACUAUUGUGGUGGUGCAUGUAGUCGUCUAUGGUAUGAAAACGGAAUGGACGUCACGAAACGAUGUGGUAAGAUAUAAAAAAAAGUAUUAAUAAAAAUACCGAUCAAUGUAGAUCUAUAAAAAGAAAAAUCACAAAAAUACUGAACUCCAUUGAAAUUGACAACAAAGAGUCCCCAAUCAAAUUGGAGAAUCAAAAGCUCAAACACAUCAAACAAAUGGACAGCAACUGUCAUAUUCCUGGAUUGGUAUAAAAUAAAAUUCGGAUUUAUAGCUAGCUAACCCUCUCACUUGUAUGACAGUCGCAUGCCAUUCUAUCAUAUUGACAACGAUGUGUGAUCAAAACAAACAGACAAAAUGCUCGGUGUUAUCAACAAACGGAACGCAAUAAGAACAGUUUUUAUAAUACUGUCUUGAUGCAGGUUUUUUCGGAAGAAAACUCCGAAUGAAUGCAUAUGCACAUAGUUAAACUUUUAUUACUCGGAAUUAUGUUUGCCAAGGAUACAACCAUCUAGUAGGGUACAAUGACGUUCAUGUUAGUAAUGUUAGUUUACCGUUAGCACGUUUACUGUGACGUUGAGUGAGAAAAUGUACUCUAAAGGGAUCAAGUAUUGUAAGAGUAUGAACAAAUUCUAUCGAGAACACCAAUAGUUUGAGAAGUAACAAAUAAACUAAAGAAAAAGCAACAAUAUGACAGACAGAUUUAAUCGAUAACCAUUGACUAAUAGAGACAGACAGUGCACGAAGUUCUAUUAACAUGAUAUAAAUGCAAAAGUGUCUGUUACAGUUGAGAUAAUUAAACAUCAAAUAAAAAACAGAAAAAAAUCAUGGAAGCUUUAAUUAAACCUAGAUGAAUAUAUAAUCAAAUAUACCAUAACUAUUCUGGAUAUAAUUAUAAUAUAAAUGUUUUUUAUAAUAAAUUUAGAAAAGUCGGUAAUUUAUUUUGUGUAGAAUUCCGAUGUCCAGGUAGCAAUGAUUGUUUACCAGGAGUAUUUCCAGCGCCAUGUAAAAGAAAUCCAUGUGAUGGACAAAGCUGCACAGGCCAUCUAAACGCCAAAUGUUGGUAAGUCAUAAACCUGUUCUUACAUUAGGAUUUCACAUUGUAGGUAGAAUUAAAACUCAUGUACAAAUACCCCUAAAGCACACUUAAUAGUUUUAUAACACCCCCCCCCCAAAAAAAAAAAAAAUUAUAUCAUUCAAGUUAUAAUUUGGUAAAAGCGACAAUUGUGCAUUGUUUUCAAAACUGCAGUAUUGCCGUAUAUUAUCUCAUGGCUGCAUGUUUAUGCUUAAAUCAAUAUAUAGGACGCGCACGUGAGCUCGGGGAUUAUUACGUAGUAGACAAAAUAGAUGUAUACUAACAUUUUUUGAAAGUUUAUUUAUAUAUGUAGCUUGCAACAGUUUACUAAUAAUACUGGUUUUUCUUUUCUUUUAUUAAAAUGCAUUAAUUACUAAAACAGAAACAAAAACAAAUUCAUUUUAUGUAUUAAAAAUUUACUUUUAGCAUGAGUUGGAAAGACAUUCUAUAAUAUUGAUUUGGAAUUACUAUUGAACCAAAGAGAGGCGAAAUAUCCUACAAGGGACAUUCAAACUCAUAAGUCAAGAAUAGAAAAACUACGCUAUAACAAAAAAGAUCAAAACAAAACUGAAAAAAACGACAACAAAAAACAACCACAACAAAGAAAACUAAUGUCAGAGCAACAGGAUUCCCACCAAAAACUCGAGGUGCUAUCAUGUUCACUAGAAAAGGUGAGUAAAUACAUGUGCCAGGUUGAUAAAAAUUCUGUUAAUAUCUUUUUCAGUCCGGUAUAUUGUGGAGGCCAUGCCUUGUGGUUUGUGGACGGUGAGAAAGUCAUUUGCUGAAAAUAAAGAAGAAAAUGAAUUGUCCAUCAAUAAAACACC